rnacentral:lncRNA from 1 species
CACUUGCAACCGGAAGUACUGACACUUGAUAUGAACUUGGGACGUGUGGGUGGAGCCGCCAGUGGCCAGCCACCUCUGCCAGACCUCAGCUUUAUGCUUUCUUUGGAAGUAAGUCCCUGGACCAUCAGAUCCAUGGGAAAUUAGUGCUGGCACCAGGGAGAAAGAUCCCGUGAACCCAGCCACCUAGAGCUACUGCCUGAGAACUCACCAUGGAUGCAAAUCCUGACCCAGCUGAGUGUGUGAGCUCCAGCUAGGCGUCCAGGCCAAGUUGGCAGGCACUCCGUCCUGUCUGUACGGGUGACUCACUGAGUGUUGGGAGCACAUUUUCCCUUCCCUGGCUGCCAGCUGUGGCUGCUGGCUCACUUCCUCGCUCUCUCUCUGGAACGACUCAGCACUCUUGUGCUAAUGUGGUGGCUCGAACUGAUGUGCAGUUGUAUAGAGUCCUGCAGAAAAGCGUAAAACUCUCUUUGCCACCAGGAUGAGGACUGGAAGCUGUGACCUUUUUGGAAACCUCAGACAUGGAUCCUUCCUUCUUUCUACCUGUUGCUACUGACAAAUCCUCUUUGUGGCCCUCUUAUGUUUUCCCAGUGUACAGAAAUCUCACAAACUGCAAACACACUGCAGUGCCAGUGGUCAGGAAAUCAAAGGCAAAUGUGUCCGCUUUCAUCUGUGUCUUAAAAUGAGAAAUGAAGGGCUCGGGUAUCUGGAAUUAUGGGCAAUUUUCCUCCCUCCUCUGCUGCCCUCAGCACUCAGGUGCAGUUUGGUGUGCAUUAACUGGGACUUGGGUGUGGACCUAGAUCUCUUGUUGGUUAAUGAUCUUCCCAGCUAAGCUCCUAUCUUCAUCAAGAGCAGGGACCCGGUCUUCAGUCUCUUUUGUGACUUCCCCAGAGCCUAGUUUAGGGUUGAAUUUAAAGCUGUCUUAGAAUCUAGGCUUGCUGAAAAAAAUGAAUGGGGCAAACUCUCAUGGAAAAGCCAAGUGUGUUGAAGGAAGGGCUGGCUUCCAGUCGUAUUAAUUUUUUCCACACACUCUCUACACCAUCAAAGGAAAGCAUCUCUUAUUCUUGGAUAGGAAAAAAUGCAUAGUGAAUCAGUCCGCCGUAACCUGAUUUCACCUCAUGGGUCAAGCAAAUAGCCAGAAUGAAGUUUUGAAGAAAAAGUGCUUGUGGGCAUCUGGGAACACAAGAGAGGCUGGGUAUUUUUUGUGAAUUUGUACGUAUGUAUAAAUGCAUAGACUCUCCAGUUAUUGGUUAGUAGGUAGGAGAGGUGGCAGGGUCUCCGUUAAUACAGGCAGUAUGCACUGUGGUUAAAACCUUGGGCUCUGGAAUCAGAGAACAAAUCCUGCCUAGGUCACACACUAGCUGAGUGAACAUGUGGGAACAUCACUUAUUCCACUAACCCUUGAAUGCUUCACUUAUCAAAUGUGUACAACAGAAAUCCCCUUAUACAGUUGUGAUGAUAAUUAAAUGAGAUUAUUAACACAAAGUGCCCAGCCAGGUAGCUGAUAUAGUCAACAAACACCCAAUAGAAAGUUCCUGUUACUAUCAGUGGUUGUUUGACAAGGAUUUGAGGGCUGGGACAAUUAAGGCUGAUAUCUAUGUUUUCGUUUGUUCCUAAUGUUAACUUGAUCUUCUGAGCAGUUCACUCCAAGAGAAAAGGGGAAAGUUACCAAACCCUCAUGAAAAACAAAACUCAAUUAAGCAGAAGUGUUUGGUACACUUUCCUUGGCCCAUGGUUAAGGCUUUACCUUUUGGAAAGCUGGCUGCAUGAGGACUUGGUGGAAGAGAAUUUUUCCAUCAAUUUUAUUCCCAAAUAUGUAACCAGGGUUCUCACUGAGUCUUGCAAAGGUUGAGUUUCAAGCUUAUGUAACUGCAUGGAAUUACUCUGUGAUUUGAGAGAUCCCAAUUCAUUGUGACAACUUGGAUCCAUAAGCCAUUUCCCUAGCCAUCCCAAAUAGAUAAAGACCAUCUACUGUCAAUAGAAUCGCGAUUUAAGUUUUUAAAAAAUGGCAGAAGAUAUAUUUUUCAUGUCCCUCUGUUUUUGAGGGCUUCCCAUCCUGAGCUAGCUGUGUAUUGAUUUUACCCCAAAGGCUUCCGUAUGAAAACAGAUGCAAGAAAUAUGCCCAUUGCUUAUAUAUUUUAAGCCUUCAAAAUUAGCUAACUGAUGAAGAGAUAUUUAUAGCAAGACAUUUUGAAAUUUCUGGGAAAAUCACAUUUUUAUUUUUCCAAUUGAGCUAUUACAAAUAAUGCUGAAUAUAUCUCAUACAACUCUAAAUCAAAGAUCACAUACUUGAAUUAAUAAUAAAAUUGCUCACAGUAUCCUUUAAAAGCAAACUUGGAGAGAAGUUUCUUCAUUAGAAAUGGAUAUUUCUGGAACAAAACAAAUGCUAAUGUAGAAGCACUUGCUUAAUUUAUAUUUCCCAUGAACUCUAUUUGAACUUGACUUCAAGGACACACAGAAGGAAAGCUGUCUGGAAUACCCCACCCUAAAGAGAGGAUGAAUGUAUUACAUGUCUGGGUAAAGACUGCACAAGUAUUGGCUCACCACUUGAUAGAGGAAGAAAAAUAAAAACACUUGAAGCCCUUUUUGUUUCAAAAAAGUUCAGUUUUCAGGUUUUCCCUCCAUAUAUUGAAGCUGAAGGGUCUUGGAGCUCUGCAGCUUGGUGGUAUAUCUCAGCUGCGAAUAAUAAGAAAUAUGAAAAAUUGGUUGCUGUUAUUAAAAAAAAAAAAAAACUGGCAAGCGCUAGUCCAGAGUGAAUCAAAACUCUGCUGAGAUACUACUUUUGGACCAAGACUUGUCUUCUUGGCUUAAAAUUACAGAGUCAGAUGGACAGUUUUCGGACUUUAUCUCCCUUGACCGCUCCAUAACAUUUGAGCUCCUUGAUUUGAACUCUUCUCCAUGAAACACCCUUCCUUGUCUUCUGUGUUUCUCCACCCUCAGGGGAAUUCUCUACUCUGCCUGUCUAUGGCACUUCUUUCUUGGUUGAUCCUUUUAAUUGUUGGUCUUCCUGUGAUAUUUGUUAUGGUCUUGUUAUAUCUCAUUACACACACACAGUCCCUGGGGGUGUCACUCAUUUAGGGCAUCACCUACUACACAUACUGGGGAAGAAUCAAACAUUUAUGUUUAUGUUUCUACCUUCUUACUAGAAUUUUCCUCCUUGACUGUUCUUCUGGGACCCCAGACUUAACAUGUCCCAACUGAACUCAUCAUUUUCUGCCCUGCUUCUCCUAUCCUUCCUUUCUCAGUGAACACUAUCUCCUGUUGCCUAAUUCAAAAACCUGGGUGUCAUUUUUUACUUCUCUGCCUCCAUUGUUCCCACAAGCGAUCAUUCACUAAGAUCGGCUGUAUCCACAUUCUGCUCUUCUCUCGUUUAUCCAUUUCUGUCCAUAUUCACUGCCAGUGUCCAGUCUAGGUUCCUAUCCUUGCCACCUUGAUCACUACCUCAGAUGCCUACCUGAUUUUCCUG